rnacentral:rRNA from 1 species
UACGUAGGGGGCGAGCGUUGUCCGGAUUUAUUGGGCGUAAAGAGCGUGUAGGCGGUUCGGUAAGUCUGUCGUGAAAUCCUGAGGCUCAACCUCGGGCGUGCGAUGGAUACUGCCGGGCUAGAGGGUGGUAGAGGCGAGUGGAAUUCCCGGUGUAGCGGUGAAAUGCGCAGAUAUCGGGAGGAACACCAGUAGCGAAGGCGGCUCGCUGGGCCACACCUGACGCUGAGACGACGAAAGCUAGGGGAGCGA